rnacentral:rRNA from 1 species
GAUGAACGCUGGCGGUAUGCCUAACACAUGCAAGUCGUACGAGAGUUUUUAACUCUAGUGGCGGACGGGUGAGUAACACGUGAGAAUUUGCCUUUAGGAGGGGGAUAACAAUUGGAAACGAAUGCUAAUACCCCAUAUGCUUUUGAGUGAAACGGAUUUAUCCGCCUAGAGAGAAGCUCGCGGCUGAUUAGCUUGUUGGUAAGGUAAGAGCUUACCAAGGCGACGAUCAGUAUCUGGUUUGAGAGGACGAUCAGACACACUGGAACUGAGACACGGUCCAGACUCCUACGGGAGGCAGCAGUGGGGAAUUUUCCGCAAUGGGCGAAAGCCUGACGGAGCAAUACCGCGUGGGGGAAGACUGCCUAUGGUUGUAAACCUCUUUUUUCAGGGUAGGAAGUAAAUGACGUGUACCUGAAGAAUAAGCAUCGGCUAACUCCGUG